rnacentral:rRNA from 1 species
CGGGAAGAGCUCAAAUUUAAAAUCUGGCGUGCCUCUGGUCGUCCGAAUUGUAGUCUGAAGAAGCGUCUUCUGUGUUGGACCGUGCACAAGUUCCCUGGAACGGGGCGUCAUAGAGGGUGAGAAUCCCGUAUAUGGCACGGACUACCGGAGCUCUGUGAUACACUCUCAA